rnacentral:misc_RNA from 2 species
AACGCACAUUGCGCCCUUUGGUAUUCCGAAGGGCAUGCCUGUCCGAGCGUCAUUAUCAACCAUCAAGCCUGGCUUGUCGUUGGACCCGUGUCACCGUCAGCGGCGACAGGUCCGAAAGAUAAUGACGGUGUCGUGUCUGACCCUCGAUGCAACGAGCCUUUUCGGCACGCAUUGCAGCGGCGGACCGGGGCCGGUCGUACCUCUCAUUUCUCAAGGUUGACCUCGGAUCAGGUAGGAAUACCCGCUGAACUUAA